UGUCAAUUUGACACGACUGGAAUAUCAGAGUACCAACCAGAAUUUGUCGUCUUCUUAUCUCGGUGGCAGUCAAAGAGGGUAGGUUUGAUUUUCGAGUAGCUGCGAAAAGAAGGUGCACAAAUCCGCGUCGUUUUGAUGGAAUAAGUUUUGAAUCUUUCUUUCUUUGGUUCCUUAAUUUACCCUUCGUUUAGAAGCUAAUCUGGAUGAAAACCCUGUCUAAGAUGGUACUUUCAUAACCUGCUUUAGUUUAGGGUUUUUGGGAACCACUAUAUAAGCUUAACUCCAAAACUACAUCCUGCGUGGUUUUUCGGCACCCACAAUACAACUCUGUUUCUCUUCUAUAGAAGGCCGCUUGUUCCAUGAAUGAAUUUGAUUACGUUAAGGUGUGGAUAGGCUCUAUAACAGAGUCAGCAGCAGGCGCCGAUCCAUGGCGACCUGACUGCCGCUUAGAGCCAAAAUUCAGUUAUGGCCGGAUGAAGAUACCUUGAAACUCAUCGUUGUUUCUUGACACAAUAAUCCGGUUACAUCUCUAUUCACCACUGUCUUUCUCUUCCCGUGUUUUGCAAAAAUGGCGGCGCCCAGUCAGACACGGGUGAUUAUUGGUUUUAUUUAAUGCCAAAUCACCUUUUGCAUGGUGCCCAAAUUGAGCUGCUUUCACGAUUGGAGGGAGCCAUUACUUGAUCAUGGCUUCCUUCAAAUUCUAAGCAGCUAAAUUCUUUAACUGUUCUUCUUUUUAA